rnacentral:rRNA from 1 species
AUUGAACGCUGGCGGCAUGCUUUACACAUGCAAGUCGAACGGUAACAGGCCGCAAGGUGCUGACGAGUGGCGAACGGGUGAGUAAUGCAUCGGAACGUGCCCAGUCGUGGGGGAUAACGCAGCGAAAGCUGUGCUAAUACCGCAUACGAUCUAUGGAUGAACGCGGGGGACCGUAAGGCCUCGCGCGAUUGGAGCGGCCGAUGUCAGAUUAGGUAGUUGGGGGGGUAAAGGCCUACCAAGCCGACGAUCUGUAGCUGGUCUGAGAGGACGACCAGCCACACUGGGACUGAGACACGGCCCAGACUCCUACGGGAGGCAGCAGUGGGGAAUUUUGGACAAUGGGCGCAAGCCUGAUCCAGCAAUGCCGCGUGCAGGAAGAAGGCCUUCGGGUUGUAAACUGCUUUUGUACGGAACGAAACGGUCUGGGUUAAUACCCUGGGCUAAUGACGGUACCGUAAGAAUAAGCACCGGCUAACUACGUGCCAGCCGCCGCGGUAACAC